rnacentral:rRNA from 1 species
GACAGAGGGUGCAAACGUUGUUCGGAUUUACUGGGCGUAAAGCGCGUGUAGGCGGCUUUGCAAGUCGGAUGUGAAAGCCCACGGCUCAACCGUGGAAGUGCAUCCGAAACUGCAUGGCUUGAGUCUCGGAGAGGAAGGUGGAAUGCUUGGUGUAGAGGUGAAAUUCGUAGAUAUCGGGAGGAACACCAGUGGCGAAGGCGGCGAUCUGGGAAGAUACUGACGCUGAGAUGCGAAAGCGUGGGGAGCAAACGGG